rnacentral:rRNA from 1 species
UACGUAGGGUGCGAGCGUUGUCCGGAUUUAUUGGGCGUAAAGGGCUCGUAGGCGGUUUGUCACGUCGGGCGUGAAAACUCAGGGCUCAACCCUGAGCGUGCGUCCGAUACGGGCAGACUAGAGGUAUGCAGGGGAGAACGGAAUUCCUGGUGUAGCGGUGGAAUGCGCAGAGUAUCAGGAGGAACACCGGUGGCGAAGGCGGCUUUCUGGACGACAACUGACGUGAGACGCGAAAGCGUGGGGAGCAAACAGG